UAGUCCACGCCGUAAACGAUGGAUACUAGCUGUUCGUCUAACAUUGGUUAGAUGAGUGGCUAAGCGAAAGUGAUAAGUAUCCCACCUGGGGAGUACGGUCGCAAGACUGAAACUCAAAGGAAUUGACGGGGGCCCGCACAAGCGGUGGAGCAUGUGGUUUAAUUCGAUGAUACGCGAGGAACCUUACCAGGGCUUAAAUGUAGUGGGACAGGUCUAGAGAUAGACCCUUCUUCGGACUCAUUACAAGGUGCUGCAUGGUUGUCGUCAGCUCGUGCCGUGAGGUGUCAGGUUAAGUCCUAUAACGAGCGCAACCCCUGUCGUUAGUUGCCAGCAUGUAAAGAUGGGGACUCUAACGAGACUGCCGGUGUAAACCGCGAGGAAGGUGGGGAUGACGUCAAAUCAUCACGGCCCUUACGUCCUGGGCUACACACGUGCUACAAUGGUAUGGACAGAGGGCAGCCACCUGGUGACAGGGAGCGAAUCCUAAAACUCUAUCUCAGUUCGGAUCG
rnacentral:rRNA from 1 species